AUUGAACGCUGGCGGCAGGCCUAACACAUGCAAGUCGAAUGGUAACAGGAAUCAGCUUGCUGUUUCGCUGACGAGUGGCGGACGGGUGAGUAAUGUCUGGGAAACUGCCUGAUGGAGGGGGAUAACUACUGGAAACGGUAGCUAAUACCGCAUAACGUCGCAAGACCAAAGAGGGGGACCUUCGGGCCUCUUGCCAUCAGAUGUGCCCAGAUGGGAUUAGCUAGUAGGUGGGGUAACGGCUCACCUAGGCGACGAUCCCUAGCUGGUCUGAGAGGAUGACCAGCCACACUGGAACUGAGACACGGUCCAGACUCCUACGGGAGGCAGCAGUGGGGAAUAUUGCACAAUGGGCGCAAGCCUGAUGCAGCCAUGCCGCGUGUAUGAAGAAGGCCUUCGGGUUGUAAAGUACUUUCAGCGGGGAGGAAGGGAGUAAAGUUAAUACCUUUGCUCAUUGACGUUACCCGCAGAAGAAGCACCGGCUAACUCCGUG
rnacentral:rRNA from 1 species